AUUGAACGCUGGCGGCAUGCCUUACACAUGCAAGUCGAACGGCAGCACGGGUGCUUGCACCUGGUGGCGAGUGGCGAACGGGUGAGUCAUACAUCGGAACAUGUCCUGUAGUGGGGGAUAGCCCGGCGAAAGCCGGAUUACUACCGCAUACGAUCUACGGAUGAAAGCGGGGGACCUUCGGGCCUCGCGCUAUAGGGUUGGCCGAUGGCUGAUUAGCUAGUUGGUGGGGUAAAGGCCUACCAAGGCGACGAUCAGUAGCUGGUCUGAGAGGACGACCAGCCACACUGGGACUGAGACACGGCCCAGACUCCUACGGGAGGCAGCAGUGGGGAAUUUUGGACAAAGGGCGAAAGCCUGAUCCAGCAAUGCCGCGUGUGUGAAGAAGGCCUUCGGGUUGUAAAGCACUUUUGUCCGGAAAGAAAUCCUUGGCCCUAAUACGGUCGGGGGAUGACGGUACCGGAAGAAUAAGCACCGGCUAACUACGUG
rnacentral:rRNA from 1 species